GCGAGGGUCAUCGGUUCAAAUCCGAUAGUCGGCU
rnacentral:tRNA from 1 species